AGUCCUAGCCUCUGCAUCUGGGACCAGGGAUCCUGCCACUGGGCAUCUCCUUUCAUUUUGGGAUUGUCAGCCUCAUUCCAGUUCUUCAGCAGAUUUUCAUGAUGGAACAAUUUGCUAAAUAUCCUGAAACAGUUAAUUUGGUCCUGGGGCAGCACAGGGUCCUGUUUUCUCUGAAUGCCAAAAUAAAGUUACCCUGUUUUUUCUUUUUGGUGUUUCUUUCUCUAGCCCUUCCCUUGCCUGGACCCUAAAUAGCGGCUGUUCCAAACCCUGCACUCUCCUGUUUGGCUCACAGGCUGCCUGCUUACAACCAUUGUAAUGUACAAUUAGCACUGAAGCACAUGCAGAUAAUAAGAGAAUCAUCAUAAAAGCACUAAACAGAGCAAAUAACAUUUCAGGCUGGAUUUAAUCCCAAAUACCCGGUGUUCUGAAGCAAGGAGGCACAGAAACCCCGAAGCCAAGACAGCACUCCAGUUAGGUGUGGAGGAUUGGAAUUAUAUAUAAAUGGCAUAUAUACACACUACCACAAUGGUUGAAUUCAGGCAUUAAUCAGGGCUGCAUGCAGAGUGAGUAAAUAUUGUAAAAUCAAAGCUUAAAAGGGCUUUUUUUAAGUAUUUUUUUAAGUAUGCUUUUUAGGUUUAACGUAGCAUUCAGAUAGUUCUCCUGGCCUAAGGAUGACAAGAGAGACACUCGGAUUAUGUAGAAAGAGUAAAACCACCAUGAGGAUGAGACCCUGAGGUCUUGGACAGAGCUUUACACCGUGGACUGGAGUUACCAUCUUGACUUUGGCAUGGCCA
rnacentral:lncRNA from 1 species